GAUGAAGAACGCAGCGAAAUGCGAAAAGUAAUGUGAAUUGCAGAAUUCAGUGAAUCAUCGAAUCUUUGAACGCACAUUGCGCCCGCCAGUAUUCUGGCGGGCAUGCCUGUCUGAGCGUCAUUUCAACCCUCACGCCCCUAGGGCGUGGUGUUGGGGAUCGGCCAGCGCCCGCAAGGGCAAGGCCGUCCCCCAAAUCUAGUGGCGGACCCGUCGUGGCCUCCCCUGCGAAGUAGUGAUAUUCCGCAUAGGAGAGCGACGAGCCCCUGCCGUUAAACCCCCAACUUUCUCAGGUUGACCUCAGAUCAGGUAGGAAUACCCGCUGAACUUAAGCAUAUCAAUAAGCGGAGGA
rnacentral:misc_RNA from 1 species